AUCUUAUACAGAAGCGGCGAGAGAUUAGGCUCUACGACCCGCUGGCAACCUUCGACCGCGCGAAAGGUGCCACUUCCUACCCCUCGGCCUUCCGGCCGCUGCGGGAAAUAUAACCG
rnacentral:ncRNA from 2 species